CAGCUGGAACAGACUGAAGCAUUCCAGGCAGAACUGCAAGUGAACGACGGGGAAAUACAUCACCGUGGGAGAGAGCGGGACUAGUUCAUCUCCAUCUUCAACCCAGCAACACUCUUCUUUCAUGGGAGGGAAAGGAUAGCCACGUGAAAAUCGACAGAUGGGCUUGGAUUCUAGCAGCAGGAAGAUACCAAUGGACCAGUCCCAGAUUCCAGACUGGACUCACCUCCAGAGGUUCCCAGGACCCUGAAGAAUUUUAGGUGAACGUUGGCAGUGCGGUCACACAGUCGCCAUGGGGCCUGAACUCUAGGGCCGUGGAACGUCUCAGGGGGUGCCUCCCCUAGGGAUCCCCAGGGCGAGGUCAACUGCCCAGCUGAAGCUUUGAGAUGGCUUUUGUCUGGUGAUGGAUGGAGAAAAAGAUCUUGCUGGGCCCUCCAGAAUGUUGCACCGGAGCGAGUGGAAAUUCAACACCAAGACAAAGGUUGUGUUUACUUCAGGAAGAAGAGUCCCCAUGCUCCUGCAGCUCUGCCAUGGUACCACGAGGCCCAGGGUAUGAAAUAAAAAGGGCGUUUCACUCGGGCAUGUGCUUUCUGUGUGAGGGCAGUUCCUGCCCUCCUAAGCACACAUGGGGCACCUGCCCAAUGCUCAAGCAGAACCUGCUCUUUGCUUGUCCUCCUGGGCCAUCUCUCUACCUCUACAGAGCCGAGUAUGUCUUCCCUGAGAGAGACAGCCCCACUCUGAAAGCCCUCACAGACUCAGGGCUCCCUGUGCUCACACCAGCUCUCUGUCCUUCCCCCCAUCCAAGCUGUCGCCCUCAUGUGAGCAGUUUGGAAGAGACAGAGGAGGAAGCAUCCUCCUCCUGCUCCCCAGGUGGAAGAUUCUUCACAUCUUUCCCAAUUUUCAUGUCUGUAAUAAGUUUACCUAUUUCUUCAUACCUUUUGUCCUAUUUCUCGGUCUGUUCUGAGUCCUGCCUUUCUUUUGGAUCAUUUGUCAAAGUAAAGGCUGAAAUUUGUGCGAUAUAAUGUAGAAUUAACCUUAUCCAUAGAUCGUACUUGGAAAGGAGUUCCUUUUACAUCUCCAGUGUCGGGAUUAUACGGUACCACCUUUAACUCUCUCUAAGAGCAAUAAGCCUUUGUAUAAUUGGGGUUUCUGAGAGUGAGUUAAUUUCUCUCUCACAUGGCAAAGCUUUUAUACCCAAUAUGAGUUUUAAUAACCAAUAUGAUAUUUUCAGUAUUUACUUAAAAUACAACUGUCUGAACAUUAGCUCCUGUGAAUGCCACUUUAUCCUUAAGAGACGUUGAAAAUCGCUGUCUGAGAAAGUACUCUCUUAAUUAUUCUACUAAUGCCAUAUGUUGUCCACUUACUCACCGAAUAGCCAGUGGACUCCAAGGAGCAGUGAGAAUAUGAGAAAAGGCACUCUGGUCUGUCCGUUCCGCUGCCCUGCUCAGGAACUCAGUGGAGCAAGCACUUCCAGAGCUGGCCAGGCUCCCCACCUGGCUCUUCCACCCCGUGCUGACCUGUGAACUAUCGAAUCCUGUGGUCAGCAUUUUCACAAAUCAUCAUCUCUGUUCUCAACAGGUAAUAAACAAAAAUCGAGUCCAAAAAUCUGUUGUUGGGACAAUGGCAUGUUUAAAACACAUCCCAAAGCAUUGUUGUCUAAGCAGUGAAAUGGUUCUCUACGUUUUAGCUCAAAACGGAGUAGAACUAACUUGUAACCAAUGAUUAAUAAUAUGAGCUCACACUGCUAGCACUUAGGGCUCUGAAAACUCAAAGCUGUUUAUAAAUUUGGCACCAGAACUCAUCAGCCAGCAAAGCUGGAUAUGAACGAACGGAAAUACACUUGUGAGUUUAUUUAUUCCAUGAUGUGUUUGAUUACAUGGUGAUCUCUUAAAUGUUGUAGGUGUGACAUAUAUGGUUAUAGGCAUUCUAAUGCUUUUUUUAAGUCCAACAUUUUCUAAUUUCCAAAUAUAUCUGACUAUAGGAGAUUUGGACAAGGCAUUGUGGGCUUAUAGGUGGUGUUAAUACUUCAUAUUACAAGAUUGAGUUACCUUCAAGGUUACAUUUUUUGUUUUUGAGAUGGAGUUUCGCUCUUGUUACCCAGGCUGGAGUGCAAUGGCACGAUCUCGGCUCACCGCAACCUCCGCCUCCUGGGUUCAGGCAAUUCUCCCGCCUCAGCCUCCUGAGUAGCUGGGAUUACAGGCACGCGCCACCAUGCCCAGCUAAUUUUUUGUAUUUUUAGUAGAGACGGGGUUUCACCAUGUUGACCAGGAUGGUCUCGAUCUCUUGACCUUGUGAUCCACCCGCCUCGGCCUCCCAAAGUGCUGGGAUUACAGGCUUGAGCCACCGCGUCCGGCCUCAAGGUUACAUAUAACUACUAUCUACAUGGUACCAAAAGAUCCAUAAAAAUGUAAAAAUAGCUGUGAGCAAUUUUUAGACCUGAACACUGCCCAACUACAUUUUUUCAUUUUCAAACAGUUGGGCAGACACCAGUUUAAUAAGCAGUACAGAAAUUCUCCUUGUUCAGUCAGAUGAAAUUCAUUGAACAUGGAUUGUGUGCAUCCUUCUUUGCAGUGCCCUGUGAUAGCGAAAACAAAACCAUUGGCUACACAGACAUCUGAAAAAUAGUCUCACCUUCUGUGAAAUGUUUACAUACGUCUUAAAGCUGUAACUUCCACCUGCUCCUGAACUGGUUCCGUCUUCCUCGUCUCAGCUCUCAGUUGUCAUUAAUAGUGAGGUCAUGUAAUUCCUGCAUUGAGCAUGGUAAUCAAGCUCAUUAACGUUUUGGACACUUCACCAGCUGUUAUCCCUACCGUUAAACUUACCUUUCAUUCUGUUUCCUGAAGCUUUUGUCAUAGUUAUGUAAAAGCUUCAAAACCUUCUUGAGAAGUUCAAAUUAGGGAUUUAUUUUGAACUUGAAACUUACAGCCCCCGUGUUUAUCUGCAUUUCUUUGAUGUAACAUCAGACUGAAUUUAUAAAGAGAGGCAACAGACUUCUCUGGACAAACAUUGCUUCUGGUAGGAUCAGAAGUUCAAUGAAAACAGCUUCCUCAAGGGAUUUAGAAGAGAUUUUUUUCCAGGCUAGGUUGGAAAUCAAAAGGAGGGAAAACAGGUUGUUCGAACCUUUCAGAAACUCUAAGAAGAAUGCAUUUGGCUCAAAAAUUAAGUCAAAGUUCUGGACAACAAAAUAGAAUAAUAAAUUUUUUAAAACAUGAAUAUGUAUAUUAGGAAUGCCUGUUUCAUUGAACUUUUAAUUAAAUCUAAGUUUUCAUGAUUUCAAAAGCUGUGUUAUGCCUAAGUUAGAAAGCAAAGAUGAAGAUUGAGAGUGGUGUAUUCCACACCUAGAGGAUGGCACCGCCCACCCCAGGCAGAGCUGCCUCCGGACCCUCUUCACUGCACGUAUACACACAACAUUAUGGUUUCACCAAAAUCAAUUCAUACUGUACAUGGUAUUUUAAACCUAACAAUGGAUAUCAAUCAUUUUAUGUCAAAAACAUAUGCAAUAAAUUUCCUUCAUCUUCUGAAGAGUUCCCUCCACUCCCUUCUGUCCAAAACAGAUCCAAUCCAUGACUAAUCACUGGAUUUGGUGGUGGUGGCCCUUACGUUUCUCUCCGCUUGGCACCGUCCACCUCCUGCCCCCAUUUCUUUAUUCAUGUCACAAAAUUAUUAAAAAACAAAAUUCACAAGCUGAUUGUCUUGAGGAAAAUAUUCAGCCUUCUGGAUGUACCUGGUGGUGUCCCUGUAAUCGAUCUCAGUUUAAUCCUCUGAGUCUUGUACUUUCUACAAAUUGGUAGCUGGAUUUGCAAGCUAAAUGGAAUCACACAAAAUAUUUUGCCAGCAUCAUUCUCUGUGAUGUAGUGUGAUUCAUGUUGCAUCUCAUCGGGAGGCACGACUGAUGGUUAGUGAUGGGAAAUCAACAGCUGAAUUCGAGUCAUACUUGACCCCUCCACAUACAGUUAGAGUUUUCACCUCACUUCUCGGAACUAGUCUAUGUGGAAUUACUUUAGCCUGUGCAGAUACCCAGUUUCCCAGGAAUGCAAUGGAACAGUUUUAUUUUUAUAUUUUAUAGUAGCU
rnacentral:lncRNA from 1 species